rnacentral:tRNA from 1 species
AGCAGCAUGGCUUAGUGGAAAGAGCCCGAGUUUGGGAAUCGGAGGACUUGGGUUCUAAUCCCGGUUCCGCUA